GUGGGUGUAGCUCAGUUGGUAGAGCGUCAGGUUGUGGCCCUGGAUGCCGCGGGUUCAAGUCCCGUCACUCACCCCA
rnacentral:tRNA from 1 species